ACUACGGGUGGCAGCAGUGGGGAAUAUUGCACAAUGGGGGAAACCCUGAUGCAGCGACGCCGCGUGAGUGAAGAAGUAUUUCGGUAUGUAAAGCUCUAUCAGCAGGGAAGAAAAUGACGGUACCUGAUUAAGAAGCCCCGGCUAACUACGUGCCAGCAGCCGCGGUAAUACGUAGGGGGCAAGCGUUAUCCGGAUUUACUGGGUGUAAAGGGAGCGUAGACGGCAGCACAAGUCUGGAGUGAAAUGUCGGGGCUUAACCCCGGAACUGCUUUGGAAACUGGGCAGCUAGAGUGCAGGAGAGGUAAGUGGAAUUCCUAGUGUAGCGGUGAAAUGCGUAGAUAUUAGGAGGAACACCAGUGGCGAAGGCGGCUUACUGGACUGUAACUGACGUUGAGGCUCGAAAGCGUGGGGAGCAAACAGGAUUAGAUACCCGUGUAGUC
rnacentral:rRNA from 1 species